CUUUGCAAUGCCCCAGCAGUAUUUCAGGAAUUUAUCAAUGACGUCCUAAGAGACUUUAUUCAUACAUUUGUAAUUGUAUACUUAGACGAUAUACUGAUAUAUUCUACAGAUUUACACACCCAUCACAGACAUGUCACAACGGUCCUGAAGACCCUUCUUGCUAAUGGUCUUUAUUGUAAACUAGAAAAAUGUUUAUUUAACAAAUUCGAAGUCCAGUUCUUGGGGUAUUUGAUUUCCGCCAAAGGGUUUCGUAUGGAUCCCCAGAAGCUUUCUGCUGUCAUAGAGUGGCCCCUACCACAGGGUUUGAAAGCAAUUCAACGUUUUCUUGGUUUUUCUAACUAUUAUAGACGCUUUAUUAAGGGUUUUUCUUCUAUUGUAGCGCCUAUCACCCGUAUGACAAAAAAGGGUGGUAAUACUCGUGUCUGGUCUCCCGAGGCACUUCAGGCUUUCGACUUUCUUAAAACUUCGCCUCUGCACCUAUUUUACAGCACCCUAUUCCCUCACUGCCUUAUAUUCUUGAAGUUGAUGCUUCUGAUAUCGGGGUAGGUGCUCUUUUGUCCCAAAGAGAAUCGCCUGAAAAGCCAUUGCAUCCUUGUGGCUUCUUUUCUAGACAAAUGUCCAAAGCUGAAAGGAAUUAUGAUGUGGGUAAUCGUGAACUCAGGAUCCUAUCCUCAUUUUUACGGAUCACAAGAAUCUAUCCUACCUUGGUGAAGCUAAAAGAUUAUCUUCUAGGCAGGCUAGGUGGUCACUAUUUUUGUCCCGUUUCAAUUAUAUUAUCACCUAUAGGCCAGGUGAUCGCAACAUUAAAGCAGACGCUCUGUCCAGAUAGUUCGAAACUACUGACAAACAGGAGGUUGAUGUUACUCCUGUCAUUCCCCCAGACAGGAUAAUAGCUACUACUAUGUUGUCUAUUUCUUCAUCCCUCUUGCAAACCAUACAGGCGAAACAAGGUAUGGCACCUAGCGAGAGGCCUAUUGAUAAAU